rnacentral:rRNA from 1 species
GGGGGCUCUAGUCUUACGCCCUGCCAUGUGAACUACUUAACGGUGCCUCUGCUGUCGAUGCUACCUCGGAGUGCCCUACCCUGUAGGUGCUAUUCGGGCGACGUGUUCACUCUGCCGCUUGAUACCCGAACGCUGGUUGAUAUUGAAUUCUUAUCCUAUUACUAUCUAAGUUAGAACUUUCUACAACUUAUCUCUUGGUUCUGGGAUCUCUUGGAACUGGCCGAAAUGAAAUAAGUAAUGUGAAUUGAUAAAUUCUGUGAAUUGUCGAAUCUUUGAACGCAUAUUGCGCCCAAUAGCAUUCUGCUGGGCUUGACCGUCCAUGGCGUCAUUUCUGUUCUUAAGCCUUGGUUGCUUAGUGUUGGGAGCCUACGUUGGGUGUUUGUCCUCAAAGUUGGACUCGGAUUUGGUUCACACUCUAGACGUGUAGAUUUUUAUCUCGCCUAUCAUUUUGACCGGUCCCCUGCCGUAAAACCCCCCAACUUCUUAAAGUUGACCUUUUUGACCUUCAAACAAGCUCGCAUAAUUGAUGAAUAUCAAUAACCCGAGGAAACGAAGGAA